ACUCCUACGGGAGGCAGCAGUGGGAAUGAUUGGACAAUGGGAACCGACUGAUCCAGCCAUGCCGCGUGUGUGAAGAAGGCCUGAGGGUUGUAAAGCACUUUCAGCGAGGAGGAAAGGUUAGUAGUUAAUACCUGCUAGCUGUGACGUUACUCGCAGAAGAAGCACCGGCUAACUCCGUGCCAGCAGCCGCGGUAAUACGGAGGGUGCGAGCGUUAAUCGGAAUUACUGGGCGUAAAGCGCAUGCAGGCGGCCUGUUAAGUCAGAUGUGAAAGCCCGGGCUCAAGCCUCAGGAACUGCAUUUGAAACUGGCAAGACUAGAGUACUGUAGAGGGGUGAGAAGGUUUCAGGAUUG
rnacentral:rRNA from 1 species